AUUGAACGCUGGCGGCAUGCUUUACACAUGCAAGUCGAACGGAUUUUGGAGCUUGCUCCAAAGUUAGUGGCGAACGGGUGAGUAAUAUAUCGGAACGUACCCGGCAAUGGGGGAUAACGUAGCGAAAGUUACGCUAAUACCGCAUACGAUCUGAGGAUGAAAGCGGGGGACCGUAAGGCCUCGCGCGAUCGGAGCGGCCGAUGUCAGAUUAGGUAGUUGGUGGGGUAAAGGCUCACCAAGCCGACGAUCUGUAGCUGGUCUGAGAGGACGACCAGCCACACUAGGACUGAGACACGGCCCAGACUCCUACGGGAGUCAGCAGUGGGGAAUUUUGGACAAUGGGCGAAAGCCUGAUCCAGCAAUGCCGCGUGCAGGAAGAAGGCCUUCGGGUUGUAAACUGCUUUUGUACGGAGCGAAAAGGCUCUCUCUAAUACAGGGGGCUCAUGACGGUACCGUAAGAAUAAGCACCGGCUAACUACGUGCCAGCCGCCGCGGUAACAC
rnacentral:rRNA from 1 species